rnacentral:rRNA from 1 species
CCCUGGUAGUCCACGCCGUAAACGAUGUCGAUUUGGAGGUUGUGCCCCUGAGGCGUGGCUUCCGGAGCUAACGCGUUAAAUCGACCGCCUGGGGAGUACGGCCGCAAGGUUAAAACUCAAAUGAAUUGACGGGGGCCCGCACAAGCGGUGGAGCAUGUGGUUUAAUUCGAUGCAACGCGAAGAACCUUACCUGGUCUUGACAUCCACAGAACUUAGCAGAGAUGCUUUGGUGCCUUCGGGAACUGUGAGACAGGUGCUGCAUGGCUGUCGUCAGCUCGUGUUGUGAAAUGUUGGGUUAAGUCCCGCAACGAGCGCAACCCUUAUCCUUUGUUGCCAGCGGUUAGGCCGGGAACUCAAAGGAGACUGCCAGUGAUAAACUGGAGGAAGGUGGGGAUGACGUCAAGUCAUCAUGGCCCUUACGACCAGGGCUACACACGUGCUACAAUGGCAUAUACAAAGAGAAGCGACCUCGCGAGAGCAAGCGGACCUCAUAAAGUAUGUCGUAGUCCGGAUUGGAGUCUGCAACUCGACUCCAUGAAGUCGGAAUCGCUAGUAAUCGUAGAUCAGAAUGCUACGGUGAAUACGUUCCCGGGCCUUGUACACACCGCCCGUCACACCAUGGGAGUGGGUUGCAAAAGAAGUAGGUAGCUUAACCUUCGGGAGGGCGCUUACCACUUUGUG